rnacentral:rRNA from 1 species
GGAUUGUAGUCUGCAACCCGACUACAUGAAGCCGGAAUCGCUAGUAAUCGCGGAUCAGAAUGCCGCGGUGAAUACGUUCCCGGGUCUUGUACACACCGCCCGUCACACCAUGGGAGCCGGUAAUGCCCGAAGUCUGUGGCCCAACCGCAACACGGAGAAGUCCGUGCGGGGGGAGCAGCCGAAGGCAGGCCCGGUGACUGGGGUGAAGUCGUAACAAGGUAUC